ACCAAAUAUUCCUUAGGAGUUGUUUGAUUGUACGUAAAACCGUAAAAAAUAGUUAUUCAUGGAGAAAAGUUUUCAGUGGAAAAAAAAAGAUUUUCGUUUUUUGGUGUUUGUUUUUUAUGAAAUAGUAGCUUUUUUUACCAACAUUUGUUUGGUUGAAAAGAAAAAACUUCAUAUUUGUUUGGUUCGGUGGAAAAAAUAUAAAAAAAAAAAAUUAUGCAGCUUGAGUUUUCAUUUUAUGUGGAAAAUCGACGUGUUGAGUCAAUUAGACGCGGAUGAGAUUUAUGUGCGAAUAUUUCCUUCAAAAGCAACUAUUCGGCCGUGUAUCGAGAGCACCGGAAAAAUGUAUCGCGCCAACUGAAGAAAGUUACGGUAACCGCAAGCAGUUACAUGCGGUUCCGAUCGGCUAGAAGUUGUCCGGAAUAUGAGGAGAUAGUGGCCGAUCGUGUAAGAACAAUAACUGGCCGAGGGGGUUAUCUAUAAAUAGUGUAAUAAUACCCCAAAAAGAGGUCUUCGCCCCUGUGCACAAAAGACCACUUUUAUUUCCCUGCAUCUUUCUUUCUCGCAUUUACUGCUUGU
rnacentral:lncRNA from 1 species